GCCUGGUUGGCUCAGUCGGUUGAGCGUCUGACUUCGGCUCAGGUCACUGUCUUGCAGUUCAUGAGUUUGAGCCCAUGUCGGGCU
rnacentral:tRNA from 1 species